UCUGGUGUCAGCCGCCGCGGUAAAACCAGCACCUCAAGUGGUCAGGAUGAUUAUUGGGCCUAAAGCAUCCGUAGCCUGCUUUGUUAGUUUUCGGUUAAAUCCAUAUGCUCAACGUAUGGGCUGCCGGGAAUACUGCAAAGCUAGGGAGUGGGAGAGGUAGACGGUACUCGGUAGGAAGGGGUAAAAUCCUUUGAUCUAUUGAUGACCACCUGUGGCGAAGGCGGUCUACCAGAACACGUCCGACGGUGAGGGAUGAAAGCUGGGGGAGCAAGCCGGAUUAGAUACCCGGGUAGUCCCAGCUGUAAACUAUGCAAACUCGGUGAUGCAUUGGCUUGAUGCCAAUGCAGUGCCGCAGGGAAGCCGUUAAGUUUGCCGCCUGGGAAGUACGUACGCAAGUAUGAAACUUAAAG
rnacentral:rRNA from 2 species